UACAGAGGUCUCAAGCGUUGUUCGGAUUCAUUGGGCGUAAAGGGUGCGUAGGCGGCGCGGUAAGUCGGGUGUGAAAUCUCGGGGCUUAACUCCGAAACUGCAUUCGAUACUGCCGUGCUUGAGGACUGGAGAGGAGACUGGAAUUUACGGUGUAGCGGUGAAAUGCGUAGAUAUCGUAAGGAAGACCAGUGGCGAAGGCGGGUCUCUGGGCCAUUACUGACGCUGAGGAGCGAAAGCGUGGGGGAGCGAACAGG
rnacentral:rRNA from 1 species